rfam:Salmo salar isolate Sally breed double haploid chromosome ssa29, whole genome shotgun sequence.
UGUGGCUCAGUUGGUAGAGCAUGGCGUUUGCAAUGCCGGGGUUGUGGGUUCAAUUCCCAUUA